UACGUAGGGGGCAAGCGUUGUCCGGAUUUAUUGGGCGUAAAGAGCGUGUAGGCGGCCAGGUAGGUCUGCUGUGAAAACUCGAGGCUCAACCUCGGGUCUGCAGUCGAUACGGGCAAACUAGAGUAUUGCAGGGGAGACUGGAAUUCCUGGUGUAGCGGUGAAAUGCGCAGAUAUCAGGAGGAACACCGGUGGCGAAGGCGGGACUCUGGGCCGAUACUGACGCUGAGGAGCGAAAGCGUGGGGAGCGAACAGG
rnacentral:rRNA from 1 species